ensembl:lncRNA
UUUAAAAAUACAUUCUUGUUGAUUGUUAAUCUUAUUUUGUUGUCAUUAGUUGUUUUUAGUUAGGUCUGACUGUUUGUAACUCCAUUUGAGGUUUACUGGGCAAAGGUCCUGGAGUAGUUUGCCACUUUUUUUUUCCAGCUUGUUUUACAAAUGAGGAAACUGCAGCAAAUGGGAUUAAGUGAGUUGCCCAGGGCCAGGCACAGCUAGUAAGUAUCUGAGGCCAGAUUAGAAUCACAGAGAUGUUUCACCCUAUCCACUGUACCACCCACCUGCCCAAUCUUUAUAAGUAAAUAACAACAAAUUUGAUCACAACAGUUCAUUUCAUAACAAGUAUCAUGAUGAUUAUACCCAUUUUAUGGAUGAAGAAAUUGAAACAUCAGUUAAGUGAUAACAGUAACAACCAUAAUGGCUAGCAUUUCUGUGGGGCUUUAAGGUUUGCAAACCAUUUUACACAUAUUUCUCAUUUGUCACAACAACCCAUGAGGUAAGUGUUAUUAUUAUGCCCAACUUAUAGAUGAAGAAAUUGAGAUUCAGAGAUAUUAAGUGAUUUGCUUAGGUUCGCAAGCUAGUCAAGAGGUAAAAUUUAACCUUGGUCUCCUGAAUCCUAGUGACAAUGCUCUUUCUGCUAUGCUGGUUGAGAAGAAGGACUUUUUUUCCAGUGGUCUUUAUCAACUGCUUUUUGUUAUCUUCUCCCUUUGAGGAUGUAAGGAUCCUAAUUCAAACCUUCUCUUUGCAGUCUGCCCCAUUCAUUCGCCCAAAAAGCCUUCAGAGACAAAAUUCUGAGGACAAAUGAUUAGAGGAGAAGCCUUGAUUCUUGCAAAAUCAUGAGAGAAGAUGGAAAAAUGAUGGACAUGAGAAGCAGAGAGAUGAGCUGGACUAACAGGACCCUGGUGGGAGCCAGAGACAUGCAUGGAGAAGGCAUGAGUGGGAGCUACUUAAAGAAGGACAAAUUGCAGACCAGACUGGCAUAUGUAGAUGACCAGAGAAAGUUUGAGAGAGGAGGGUAGGAGGAAACAAGAAUGUCUUAAGGGCUUGCUCUAUGCCAGGCACUUCACAAAUAUCUCACUUGAUCCCCACAACCAGUCUGGGAGGUAAGUGCUAGUAUUAGCCCCAUUUUACAGGUGAGGAAAUUGAACAAAGGUCAAGUGACUUGCCUAGUUCAGGGUCUAAGGCUGGCGUUGAACUCAAUUUCCUAAGUCAAGACCUAGUGCUCUUACCCACUGGAUCUCCCAACUGCAUGAAGGAGAAGAUCCUAAUCAAAGCACCAGGAACAUCCAAGUAUAUCAUCUUGCUAAGAAGUAACUCUGGGGCCAUGUUUUUACUACCAAAGUCAUGAGUUUGGUGGGGGUUCUGGAAAGAGAUGGUACUCAUUCAGGAAUGAGGUUCAUAUAAUUUUAGAGAUUUGAAUAUACAUUUCUGUUCUUAGUGAAUGUUUACUCUUUUAUUGAUAUUCUAUUCCUUGCUCUUUGGGGUAUGAGAAAUCAAGACCUGAAUUAAAUCCAAAAGUUCCACAUUUGGAGAUGAGAUAGUAGGCAAAUGAGGCAGCAGAUGUAAGUUUUACCACCAAAAAAUCCCUCCUUUUAAACUCAAGGCUUUAAAGAUCCAUGUAACAGGUACCCUCUGAACUGCACAUGGGUCUCUCCUAAGGGAAGGCAAUGCUUUAAACAGGGUAUAAUAGCCCUAAAUCAAGUUAGACUGUAGAGUAAGGACACUUCAACACAUUAAUAGAGAGUGUUUUCAUAGGUAAUUUCCAAACCUAUGUUUUAGUAUGGAUAAAUUAAAAAAGAAAAAGAUCCUUCCUAUUUUAUUUCACUGUAUUUUAUUUCACCUACUUUGUGCAGCAAGUGUAUACAAAAUAGUGUGGGUUGUUUUUCUUUCUUAAACAUCCUAGAGCUUUGUAAAAGGAAGAAAAAUGAAUCAAAUUUGUUAAAAUUUGUUUCUAAAAAAAAUGAAAAGCGGGUAUUACGGUACUUAGCUUAGCUGACUUGUUUUAAUAAUGCUUUGUCUGACACUGAAUCCUGAGCUCAACAUCUGUUCUUAAUAAAAAUCUAUAAUCAGCAAUGCCCA